UACGUAGGGUGCGAGCGUUAAUCGGAAUUACUGGGCGUAAAGCGUGCGCAGGCGGCUUUGCAAGACAGAUGUGAAAUCCCCGGGCUCAACCUGGGAACUGCAUUUGUGACUGCAGUGCUGGAGUGCGGCAGAGGGGGAUGGAAUUCCGCGUGUAGCAGUGAAAUGCGUAGAUAUGCGGAGGAACACCGAUGGCGAAGGCAAUCCCCUGGGCCUGUACUGACGCUCAUGCACGAAAGCGUGGGGAGCAAACAGG
rnacentral:rRNA from 1 species